rnacentral:rRNA from 1 species
GACGAACGCUGGCGGCGUGCUUAACACAUGCAAGUCGAACGGAAAGGCCCUGCUUUUGUGGGGUGCUCGAGUGGCGAACGGGUGAGUAACACGUGAGUAACCUGCCCUUGACUUUGGGAUAACUUCAGGAAACUGGGGCUAAUACCGGAUAGGAGCUCCUGCUGCAUGGUGGGGGUUGGAAAGUUUCGGCGGUUGGGGAUGGACUCGCGGCUUAUCAGCUUGUUGGUGGGGUAGUGGCUUACCAAGGCUUUGACGGGUAGCCGGCCUGAGAGGGUGACCGGCCACAUUGGGACUGAGAUACGGCCCAGACUCCUACGGGAGGCAGCAGUGGGGAAUAUUGCACAAUGGGCGGAAGCCUGAUGCAGCAACGCCGCGUGCGGGAUAACGGCCUUCGGGUUGUAAACCGCAUUCGCCUGUGACGAAGGGUGAGUGACGGUAAUGGGUAAAGAAGCACCGGCUAACUACGUG